GACGAACGCUGGCGGCGUGCUUAACACAUGCAAGUCGAACGGAAAGGCCCUGCUUUUGUGGGGUGCUCGAGUGGCGAACGGGUGAGUAACACGUGAGUAACCUGCCCUUGACUUUGGGAUAACUUCAGGAAACUGGGGCUAAUACCGGAUAGGAGCUCCUGCUGCAUGGUGGGGGUUGGAAAGUUUCGGCGGUUGGGGAUGGACUCGCGGCUUAUCAGCUUGUUGGUGGGGUAGUGGCUUACCAAGGCUUUGACGGGUAGCCGGCCUGAGAGGGUGACCGGCCACAUUGGGACUGAGAUACGGCCCAGACUCCUACGGGAGGCAGCAGUGGGGAAUAUUGCACAAUGGGCGGAAGCCUGAUGCAGCAACGCCGCGUGCGGGAUGACGGCCUUCGGGUUGUAAACCGCUUUCGCCUGUGACGAAGCGUGAGUGACGGUAAUGGGUAAAGAAGCACCGGCUAACUACGUGCCAGCAGCCGCGGUGAUACGUAGGGUGCGAGCGUUGUCCGGAUUUAUUGGGCGUAAAGGGCUCGUAGGUGGUUGAUCGCGUCGGAAGUGUAAUCUUGGGGCUUAACCCUGAGCGUGCUUUCGAUACGGGUUGACUUGAGGAAGGUAGGGGAGAAUGGAAUUCCUGGUGGAGCGGUGGAAUGCGCAGAUAUCAGGAGGAACACCAGUGGCGAAGGCGGUUCUCUGGGCCUUUCCUGACGCUGAGGAGCGAAAGCGUGGGGAGCGAACAGGCUUAGAUACCCUGGUAGUCCACGCUGUAAACGGUGGGUACUAGGUGUGGGGUCCAUUCCACGGGUUCCGUGCCGUAGCUAACGCUUUAAGUACCCCGCCUGGGGAGUACGGCCGCAAGGCUAAAACUCAAAGGAAUUGACGGGGCCCCGCACAAGCGGCGGAGCAUGCGGAUUAAUUCGAUGCAACGCGUAGAACCUUACCUGGGUUUGACAUGGAUCGGGAGUGCCCAGAGAUGGGUGUGCCUCUUUUGGGGUCGGUUCACAGGUGGUGCAUGGCUGUCGUCAGCUCGUGUCGUGAGAUGUUGGGUUGAGUCCCGCAACGAGCGCAACCCUUGUUCACUGUUGCCAGCACGUUAUGGUGGGGACUCAGUGGAGACCGCCGGGGUCAACUCGGAGGAAGGUGGGGAUGACGUCAAGUCAUCAUGCCCCUUAUGUCCAGGGCUUCACGCAUGCUACAAUGGCUGGUACAGAGAGUGGCGAGCCUGUGAGGGUGAGCGAAUCUCGGAAAGCCGGUCUCAGUUCGGAUUGGGGUCUGCAACUCGACCUCAUGAAGUCGGAGUCGCUAGUAAUCGCAGAUCAGCAACGCUGCGGUGAAUACGUUCCCGGGGCU
rnacentral:rRNA from 1 species